UCUGGUGACAAUGGCAAGGAGGUCACACCUGUUCCCAUGCCGAACACAGAAGUUAAGCUCCUUAGCGCCGAUGGUAGUCGGGCUUACGUC
rnacentral:rRNA from 1 species